rnacentral:lncRNA from 1 species
CGAAAGGUGAUGGCUAAACGCCUUCAGGCAUAACAUGUUUUGAUCCUAGACUUUCCAUAAUACUAUUGCUAAACUAGCACGAGAUUAAACUAAAUAGCCAUCAACUUAGCAACUGGCCGAAAUGACAGGCGGAAAAAGUGAUUAACUGCAACAAGAUAUAUAAAUGUAUUAGAUUUCGGGUUUUUAGAAAUAAAAUUUUCAAGUUGUAUGAUUUUUAGUUUCUAAGUUUAUAUGUUAUGAUGAUUGUUUUUUUUUUUGUUCACAAACUUCUUCAUUACUAAAAUUAAGCGGUUACAAGAGAGAUAGCAACAUGGGACAAACCACGAUGAAGCCGAUAAACUAAAACCCCGACAAAUAUUUCAAUGGAAUACAAGGAUAGAGACAC